rnacentral:lncRNA from 1 species
AAGGGAAAGAAGGCUUUCUUUCGGCCCUUUUCGUUUCUCCGCCUUCCUCCUUCCUCCCCUCCCCCACCUUUCCCUCCUCCGGCCUUUCUCUUCUUAUUCUGGGAGGUCUUUCCUGGAGGCCGCCCGGACGGGUUCUGAGCACUUAGGCGGCGGUGGCGCAGGCUUUUUGUAGCGAGAUUUGCGCCUGCGCAGCGCGUCUGCCUCGCCAUGCACGGGGGUGGCCCUCCCUCCGGGGACAGCGCAUGCCCGCUGCGCACCAUCAAGAGAGUGCAGUUCGGCGUCCUGAGUCCGGAUGAGUUGGUAAGCUGCUCCGCCCUUCUCUCUCCGAUGCCUCUGGCUGAUCCUCUGGGAGGAUGGGUCAGUGACGCUGAUGUUGUGCGGGGUCCAGCCUUCAGCUUCCCAAAGUUAAUUAUGUCAAGACCUAGACCAGCGUGAUGUUAUAUGUCUGUGAUGAGUGUUUGGCUGGGCAGAGAAGAUGAUUUCGUACUUGAGCAUCGCUACGGUUCAACGAGACAAGAGUUGAAAUUUGUACAGUAAAUGGAUUCUCAAGUUCUUCUCCUUUUACAAAUAUUGAGCACCGUGUUAUGUGACAAUCGGGCACCGGGAACACAGCUGCACAAUAUAACAAGAACUCGACCUUCUAAAACACUGUAUGUGGUAAAAAUAGCAGAGAAGACAGCACAAAAACAAAAAGAAUGAGCAAAAAUAAAUUCAGUUAAGUUCCUAAAUUAAAGCAAAACGAGAAAAUAAAAGCAAAACGAGGUAAUGCUGU